GUGGGGAAUAUUGCACAAUGGGCGAAAGCCUGAUGCAGCAACGCCGCGUGAGUGAUGAAGGUCUUCGGAUUGUAAAGCUCUGUCUUUUGGGACGAUAAUGACGGUACCAAAGGAGGAAGCCACGGCUAACUACGUGCCAGCAGCCGCGGUAAUACGUAGGUGGCGAGCGUUGUCCGGAUUUACUGGGCGUAAAGGGUGCGUAGGCGGAUGUUUAAGUGAGAUGUGAAAUACCCGGGCUUAACUUGGGUGCUGCAUUUCAAACUGGAUAUCUAGAGUGCAGGAGAGGAGAAUGGAAUUCCUAGUGUAGCGGUGAAAUGC
rnacentral:rRNA from 1 species